rnacentral:tRNA from 1 species
UCCUCAGUAGCUCAGUGGUAAAGCGAUCAAUUGUUAACUAAUUGGUCAUAGGUCCGAGCCCUACUUGGAGAG